rnacentral:lncRNA from 1 species
GGCGAGUACUCCGAUAUACGAUGGAGCAAUGUUGAGGCUCAAUGGAUUCCUUGUUUUUAAAGUGCUCCAAAUCACUGUUGAACCCAAAUAUUGUGUUUUUAUAAUAUGAAAGAAUAAUCAUAUACUAGUGGAAUUUCGCUUAAAAAGAGUUGCCUAAGAAGUACCGAGUUAGCGGCAUAUAAUAGUGAAGUUUUCAAAAAAGUAAGUUUCCCGCGGCAUGGAUAUUACCCUUAAAAAAGAAAGAAAAUAAAAGAUAAAAAAUAUUUUCUAAGAAAAAAUGAAAUAGUGGCCUUUUAGAAGAAAAAAAGAAAACACACACACACACAAAACGAACUAGUAAAGAAAAAUAAAAAUAAAAGCAAAACAGAAAGAUAGAAAAUAGGAAGGGGAAGGCUUGGUCACACCUGGUAAUGGGUUCGGCCCGUUGGAAUCGACUCGUCAAAUACAUCAGAGAAUAAACCGGAAAAAUGGGUGUGGCUAGGUCUCACUCGACUGAUACUUAAUCAAGUCUCAGUCAAAUGAUAUAAUAUGUAAGAAAAAAUAAAAAUAAUUGAGAAAAAAUUAGACGGAUCUCAAUAUAAGAUCUGACAAAUAUAAUAUCGAUUAAGAUAUAAUUAAAUCUUAGUCGACUGAGAUUUGACGAGACUGAAAAAAAUAACAGAAUGUAUAGUAAAGCAAGAUCAUUAACACACUAAACCGACCGACACAAAAUAAAAUUUCAGACGACAUACAUAUAGCUAAAUUAAUAAAUAAAAUAAAUGGGAAAGACGUUUUAUAUAGGAGUACUUAAGAAAAAGUAAGCAAGCUGGUGUAAUACGAUUUUUUCCACCGUGCGGGAGAGAUGAAAAAACAAGGACGCCGAUAACUGCCACACGUGUGGGCGUUAAGGAAUCUGCCCAGACGUUCUGUGUGGUGCCUAAGAGGACCAGCCCACACGUCUGUAUGUGGGCAAAACAAUUAGCGCCCACACGCCUCCUUUUUUCCCUCCCGGUCCCUCUUACACGCGUGCGUGUGGGCGAAAUAGAUAACGCACACACGCCCGGUACGUCAGGCCUCGUACCUCGUGCUCCCGCACGCCCCACGUGACACUUUACCGCGCGCCCCGCAGUUGCCAUGGGCCGGACCCUCGUCCAUGUUCGUUUAAGUGCAGUUGCCAUGUCGCUGAACUACGGUUGCCAUGUCGGACAACUACAGUUGCCAUGUUUGCUCAACUGCAGUUGCCAUCUCAGGUCAAAGUUCCAGAUUGCCAUUUUUUGGACAACUACAGCUGUUGCCAUGUGUGGUCUGGUCUACUGCAGUUGCCAUGAUUUCAAAACUUUAGGAGUUGACACCUACUAACAGUAGGCAGUUGCCAUGUAACGCUACAACAAAAGGCAUGGCAAAAAACAUGUUCGGGUAAAAAGAGAGAGUUGCCAUGUGCUCACAAGCACGCUAGGGCAGUUGCCAUUUAAAAGGAAAGAGUUGUCAUCUGCUUAUGUGCACGCUAGGGCAAUUUACCAUGUACCAUGCAAAACAUAUGGCAACUAAGAACUGACAUGUUCGAGUAAAAAAAAGAGAGUUAGUCAUCUGCUUGCAAUCAUACUAGGGCAGUUGCCAUGUACACUGCAAAACGUAUGGCAACUGGCAGCUUGGGUGUGAGAGAGGAGGCGGGUGUGUGGGCGAGAUGGCAAACGCCCACACACCAGCCCUUGUGCGUGAUUGAAAAACUGAUGUGUGGGCGAACUGUAUGCUGGGUGAGAAACGACAGACAAAACUCAAAAACAGAAAAAGGGUGGUGGGAAUAGAGCAUAGUUAUGCAUGCGUAUGUUUGAGAUUGUACCAAAUGGGAUCAUGAGGCAUAGGCUCCACUUGAGCAAGUUGAGUGAUCAGCCGAUGAAUUUGGGUGUCUUUCCAGGACAAUUGUCGGCAGUGGCGAAUUUUGGAGGAAAAUCAAGGGCAGGCUCAAAGUCAAUGGCGUGAAGAAAAAGCCACCAAGUCUUAAUUCUUUUGUUUAAGGAAGGCUAGAAUUUGCCAUAAUACUACUAGGAACAUGUACUAUUAACUACUAAUUACCUUUUUUCAUUGCUGGAGGGCAGGCUCAAGCCUAUUAAAGCCUGCCCAGUUCAUUUGCCACUGAUUGUGGGUAAAGUUCUGCCAUUUUCACCUUUAUGAGCAAAUCAAACAACUCUUCUUUCUUCUUCUUGAAUUCCCUUUCCAGCUCACCUCGAGGCCUUGCACUAGAUGUCGACUCGCGACACAACAUGAUCGAUUCAUAUUAGUAUGGUUUCUAGACAGAAUUGUAUGUCUCACAUUAGUAUGGUUUCUAGACAGAAUUGUAUGUCAUAGUAUGAGAUAUAUCGUUAGAAAAAUAUGUAAAAACAAACCCUAUCAUACAUAGUUUAGAGACAGUGGCUUUUUUUAGACAAAAGGCAUCAUACCCGACUUCAAAUUAAUGAAGCCAUCAACUGGCUAGGGGAUACAAUGGUAUUGCAAACAUUGGUACAGACUUGAUACAAGAGAGAAGAGAAGGCGGUUAGACCAAGAUGCUGAGUAGAGAGAAGGUCACACACAGCAACCACUAAAGAAAAUUACAGGAUCAAGUCGAAGAUGAACUCCAAGCCGCAGAGGAUCAACAUGAGAAGAGGUCGUAGAGACGCACCAGAUGGAGGGUGAUAGGGCCACCACCGCAGGAAUGAGCACCGUCGCAAGAUUCAGGGCAGCAAGAGCCAAGGACAGAAGAGAGACCACCAUCUCUCUUCACAUGUUGCCGGAGGGGAGACCUCAUCUUCGGUCGCCCCACAGGAGCACCACCACCGGCCAGCAACUCCACAACACUGCUCGAGAGCGAACCACAGCAACCGGAGCUGGAAGCUUAAGGCGGCUACACACCAACAUCCCCAGCAACCGACAAAGAAGAAGCGAAUCGAAGCAGGGGGUUUCUGAUUCGCUUCUUCUUUGUCGGUUGCUGGGGAUUGCUUUCGCUAGCAAUGUACGAGUGUGGCGUAUCUGUCGAUUUGGGGGUGGGGGGCCUCCAGUGUAUAUAUAUGAAGAAAAAAUAAGUAAUUCCAAAAAAAUGAUGAAACAUUUUGAGAAAUAAACUUCACCUUCUGUUGUAUUUGUAUAAAAAAUCGCUAAAACGGCUUUCACGGUAUUGUGGAUGAAAAAACAAAAUCAACACUAUAUGCAAGUUAUUAUUCCCGCGGUCAGAAACCCCCCGCGGUGCACGCCCACCUGGCAGACAAGCCCCUUACACUUGACGGGGAGGGCGGACCCCUGAUGGAAACGCCCCCGGUGGAGGGUGGCGAGUACUCCGAUAUACAAUGGAGCAAUGUUGAGGCUCGAUGGAUUCCUUAUUUUUAAAGUGCUCCAAAUCACUGUUGAACCCAAAUAUUGUGUUUUUAUAAUAUGAAAGAAUAAUCAUAUACCAGUGGAAUUUCGCUUCAAAAGAGUUGCCUAAGAAGUACCGAGUUAGUGGCAUAUAAUAGUGAAGUUUUCAAAAAAGUAAGUUUCCCGUGGCAUGGAUAUUACCCUUAAAAAAGAAAGAAAAUAAAAGAUAAAAAAAAAUUCUAAGAAAAAAAUGAAAUAGUGGCCUUUUAGAAGAAAAAAGAAAAACAUACCCACACACACACACACAUAAAACCGAACUAAUAAAGCAAAAUAAAAAUAAAAGCAAAACAGAAAGAUAGAAAAUAGGAAGGGGAAGGCUUGGUCACACCUGGUAAUGGG